AUUUUUUUGGUUAAGGGAUAUAAAUAAAUUAUUUAAAGCAUUUAAUGGUAAAUUUGGUAAACUACGAAAAUAAAUAAGGACGUUACAAAUCGAAAAUUAUAAUGAAGUUUAGACUUGUGAUUUAUAAAUUUCCUUUAAAUAAAAAUUAUUUUAUUUUUACAAUAUUUGUUUUAAAAAUUUUGCGAAUUGAAUCAUCUUAGUAGCAAAAAAAAUAAAUCAAACGAAAUGUAUUUUAGUAGCGGCGAGCGAAAAAAUAAAUUAAGCAAAAAUAUAUAUAUAAAAUUUAAAAUUUCUAGAUAAGGUAAAAGUCCUUGUAAAAUUUUUUAAUUAUAUUUUUUAACUAAAGUAACAAGUUUAUUAAAUUUGUGAAAAUUAAGGAGCACCACCUUCUAAGCUUAAUAUAUAGUUUAACCGAUAGAAAAUGAGUACUGUGAAGGAAAAUUGAAUAAAAUUGAAUAAAAUUGAAUAAAAUUGAAUGUUGACAAAUUCCCUGAUAUUAAUUAUUACAGGUUACUUUUUGCAGAACGAGUCAGCAAGUUAAUUUUUAUAGCAAAAUUUAAAGUUAUGUAAAAUAAAAAGUUAUGUAAAUUAAACCUGAAACCAAGUGAUCUAACCAUUGACAAGUUGAUUUUAAUGUAAUAAUUAAAUAAAGACUGAACUUUUAUAUGUGGCAAAAUAUAAAGAUGAUCUGUGGUUAGGAGUGAAAGGCUAAUCAAACUUGGUUAUAGCCGGUUUUUCACGAAAUGUAUUUUAGUACAGCGUUAAAUAAAAUUAAUUAAGGUAAAGUUCAAAAACAACAAAAUUAUUUUAACUUAAGAAUUUAAUUAAUAUUGAUAAUUUAACAGUCAGUCUGAAAGCGAUAAGGUUUUUGAGACUAAAGGAAAACAAUCCAGAUUAAAUGUUAAGGUAUUAAAUUACAAACUUAUCUUAAAAUUUUUUAGAAUUCAAAUAAUUUAUUAAUAGGCUUAGAAGCAGUUUUUUAUUAGAGAAAGCGUUUUAGCUCAUUAUUAUUUUCUAAUUAAUUAAAAAUUUAAUGAUGUUAAGUUGUAAACCGAAACUUUAAAUUAUUUUUUAUAAAUAAUGGUAGUGAAACUUUUUGUAAUAAAAAAAUAAAUUGAAAAAUAAAUUUUUAAACAAAAGUGAUAAUGCUGACAUGAGUAACGAAAAUUAUGUUUAAUCAUAAUCAUAAACAAAUUAUUUUAAAAUAUAAAGGUUUUCAACGUAAUUUUAUAUUCGUUGAGUGAAUCGGUUCCUAAGAAUAAGUUAAAAAACGAAUUUUGAUGGAAAUAAUUUUCUUUGUUAUUUGUCUAAAAUUUUUUACAUAACAAAAAAAUAUUUAUUUGUCUAUUUAUUAGUGAUAUUUUGAUAAAGAAAAUAUUUUUUUCAAGAAAAAAGUCAAUGUGAAAACCGUACUUAAUCCGACACAGGUCUAAUUAAUGUUUGAAAGAAUUAUACUAAAGGAACUUGGCAAAUUAAUUCUGUAUGUUCGCUAAAAAGAAUGUCUAAUUUAUGAAAAAAAAUUGUUAGAUAACAUAAAACAAAAAGCAACGACUGGUUAACAAAACCACAGGACUCUGCUUAAUUAAAUAAAGAUGUAUAGAGUCUGAGGCCUGCCCAGUGCUUAAAAAUGAAAUAUUUUGUUAAAAUAUAAAUUAGAUAAAAUAAUAAAUUUAAGUAAACGGCGGUUCUAACUAUAAGAAUCCUUAGGUAGCGAAAUUCCUUGGCGGGUAAAUUCCGUCCUGCAUGAAUGGUUUAACGAUUGCUUUACUGUCUCUAGUAUAAAUUCAGUGAAAUUACAAUACCCAUGAAAAUGUGGGUUGCUUACAAUAAGACGGAAAGACCCUAGAUCCUUUACUUUUAUUUUAUAUUGUAAACAUAAAAAAAUACUGUAGUAUAGAUGGGAGUUAAAAACAAUUAUUUUGAAAUACCAUUAUAUUUUUAUUAUUUUUACUUAAAAAUUGGAAUAUUCAAGAAAGUGUAAAAAAGAAAGUUUACUUGGGAUGAGUACCUCCAAAAAAGUAACGGAGGUGUACUAAGGUAAAUUUAUUUAUUUUGUAUAAUAGCAAAAAUUUGCUUGACAAAAAAAUAUAUUUAUUGAUUUGGAACGUAAGUUGGUUAUAGUGACCCGAAUUUUAGAGUGGAAUAAAAAUUCGUUUAACAGGUAAAAGGAACUCUAGGGAUAACAGAUUCAUCAUGAUUAAAAGUUCGUAUUAAGAUCAUGGUUUGAUACCUCGAUGUCGACUCAUCUUAUCCUGAGGUUGAAGAAUUUCUCAAGGGUCUAGUUGUUCGCUAGUUAAAAAGGUACGUGAGUUGGGUUCAGAACGUCGUGAGACAGUUCGGUCCCUAUCUAUUGUAAGUUAAACGAAAAAUUAAAAGAAAUAUUUCUAGUACGAGAGGACCGAAAUAUAUUAACCUCUAGUUAAUUGAUUAAAUUAAAAAUCUUAUUUAUUGUCAAGUAGCUACGUUAGUUUAUUUUAAAUACUGAAAGAAUAAACAGUAUAAAAAUCACUUUAAUUAAUUUUUCUAAAUAUUUUAAAAGAAUAUUAGAUAGAUCGGUUUAAUCUUAAUUUUUAGUAAUAAAAAAAUUAUAAAUACGAAUUUAUAACAAAUUUAUUAAAACUA
rnacentral:rRNA from 1 species